GGCGCACGGGUGAGUAACACGUAUCCAACCUGCCGAUGACUCGGGGAUAGCCUUUCGAAAGAAAGAUUAAUACCCGAUGGCAUAGUUCUUCCGCAUGGUAGAACUAUUAAAGAAUUUCGGUCAUCGAUGGGGAUGCGUUCCAUUAGGUUGUUGGCGGGGUAACGGCCCACCAAGCCUUCGAUGGAUAGGGGUUCUGAGAGGAAGGUCCCCCACAUUGGAACUGAGACACGGUCCAAACUCCUACGGGAGGCAGCAGUGAGGAAUAUUGGUCAAUGGACGAGAGUCUGAACCAGCCAAGUAGCGUGAAGGAUGACUGCCCUAUGGGUUGUAAACUUCUUUUAUACGGGAAUAAAGUGAGGCACGCGUGCCUUUUUGUAUGUACCGUAUGAAUAAGGAUCGGCUAACUCCGUGCCAGCAGCCGCGGUAAUACGGAGGAUCCGAGCGUUAUCCGGAUUUAUUGGGUUUAAAGGGAGCGUAGGCGGACGCUUAAGUCAGUUGUGAAAGUUUGCGGCUCAACCGUAAAAUUGCAGUUGAUACUGGGUGUCUUGAGUACAGUAGAGGCAGGCGGAAUUCGUGGUGUAGCGGUGAAAUGCUUAGAUAUCACGAAGAACUCCGAUUGCGAAGGCAGCCUGCUGGACUGUAACUGACGCUGAUGCUCGAAAGUGUGGGUAUCAAACAGGAUUAGAUACCCUGGUAGUCCACACAGUAAACGAUGAAUACUCGCUGUUUGCGAUAUACAGUAAGCGGCCAAGCGAAAGCGUUAAGUAUUCCACCUGGGGAGUAC
rnacentral:rRNA from 1 species